ACCUACGGGGGGCAGCAGUGAGGAAUAUUGGUCAAUGGGCGGGAGCCUGAACCAGCCAAGCCGUGUGAAGGAAGAAGACGCCAGGCGUCGUAAACUUCUUUUGUCGGGGAACAAAGGGCGCCACGUGUGGCGUUGUGAGUGUACCCGAAGAAAAAGCAUCGGCUAACUCCGUGCCAGCAGCCGCGGUAAUACGGAGGAUGCGAGCGUUAUCCGGAUUUAUUGGGUUUAAAGGGUGCGUAGGCGGUCCGGAAAGUCAGCGGUAAAAGCCCGGG
rnacentral:rRNA from 1 species